rnacentral:rRNA from 1 species
CCAAUCGAACCCGGAGAUAGCUGGUUCUCCCCGAAAUAGCUUUAGGGCUAGCCUUAGGAGAAUAAGUAUUGGGGGUAGAGCACUGACUGGGCUAGGGGCCCAACCAGGUUACCGAACCCUAUCAAACUCCGAAUACCAAUACUUUGACCUAGGAGUCAGACUGUGGGGGAUAAGCCUCAUAGUCGAGAGGGAAACAGCCCAGACCGACAGCUAAGGUCCCCAAGUACGGACUAAGUGUAGAAGGAUGUGGAAUUGCACAGACAGCCAGGAUGUUGGCUUAGAAGCAGCCAUACAUUUAAAGAGUGCGUAAUAGCUCACUGGUCGAGUGGUUCUGCGCCGAAAAUGUAACGGGGCUAAGUCCGUCACCGAAGCUUCGGAAGUAAGUGUAAGCACUUACUUGGUAGGGGAGCGUUGCCUGCGCCUUGAAGCGGUACCGUAAGGAGCCGUGGAGUGCAGGGAAGUGAGAAUGCCGGUAUGAGUAGCGAGAGAGAGGUGAGAAUCCUCUCCGCCGAAAGCCUAAGGAUUCCUGAGGAAGGUUCGUCCGCUCAGGGUAAGUCGGGACCUAAGCCGAGGCAGAAAUGCGUAGGCGAUGGACAACGGGUUGAGAAUCCCGUACCACCAUUACACCGAUUGAGUGAUGGGGUGACGCAGGUGGGUAGGUCAUCACACAGAUGGAAUAGUGUGUCUAAGCGAGUAGGGAGUGAGGUAGGCAAAUCCGCCUCACAAGGAACCCGAGACGCGAAUGGGAGCGAAAUUAAGUAGCGAACUGACUGACCCCGAACUGCCAAGAAAAGCCUCUAGCGAGGAGUAAAGGUGCCCGUACCGCAAACCGACACAGGUAGGCGAGGAGAGUAUCCUAAGGCGAACGAGAGAACCCCUGUUAAGGAACUCGGCAAAAUGACUCCGUAACUUCGGGAGAAGGAGUGCCUGUAUGCUGUAAGCUAGGAAGCAAAGCGAGCAGGAACAGGUUGCAGAUGAGAGGCCCAAGCGACUGUUUACCAAAAACACAGGUCUCUGCUAAGUGGGAACACGAAGUAUAGGGACUGACGCCUGCCCAAUGCCGGAAGGUUAAGGGGAAGAGUAAUCCUUCGGGAGAAGCUUAGAACCGAAGCCCCGGUCAAUGGCGGCCGUAGGUAGCGAAAUUCCUUGUCGGGUAAGUUCCGACCUGCACGAAUGGCGUAACGAUUUGGGCACUGUCUCAACGGGGGGCUCGGCGAAAUUGAAAUACCUGUGAAGAUGCAGGUUACCCGCAACAAGACGGAAAGACCCCAUGGAGCUUUACUGUAGCCUGAUAUUGGAUUUUGGUUUUGGAUGUAUAGGAUAGGUGGGAGACUUGGAAGCCUGUACGCCAGUAUAGGUGGAGUCAAUGUUGGAAUACCACUCUUCUAGGGCUGGGAUUCUAACCGUAGUCCGUGAAACCGGAUACGGGACAGUGUCAGGUGGGCAGUUUGACUGGGGCGGUCGCCUCCUAAAAGGUAACGGAGGCGCCCAAAGGUUCCCUCAGUGCGGAUGGAAAUCGCACGAAAGAGUGUAAAGGCAUAAGGGAGCUUAACUGCGAGACAGACAAGUCGAGCAGGUACGAAAGUAGGGCUUAGUGAUCCGGUGGUUCUGCGUGGAAGGGCCAUCGCUCAACGGAUAAAAGCUACCCUGGGGAUAACAGGCUUAUC